AUGCAUGCCGACGCCAUGGAAGUCGCCGGCGGCAAACGAAAGCGCGCGGCCUCCUCCGAUGCAGGCGCAGGUGACGGCACGGACUGCCUGAGCAACCUUCCGGACUGCCUCCUCCACGGCAUCCUCUCGCAGCUCCGGUCCCGGCAGGCCGUGCAGACGUGCGCCCUGUCGCGGCGGUGGCGCCAGCUCUGGCGCGCCGUCCCCUGCGUCGACAUCGACGCCGCGGACUUCCUGGUCCAAGUCGAUGGGAAUCCCACGAUUGUUGUCUCCGAUCCAUCGGAUCACGAGACUGAGGCGGCGCUGGCCAGGCUGGAGGAUUUCGCCGACAGUCUGCUGUCCCGCCGCAGCCUCUCCGCCGCCUUGAUGACGGGGUCGGCGUUGGACACCCUGCGCCUGCGCAUCCAUCGCCAGGAUACAGGAGGCCCACGCAGCAGCACCGGCACGGCGAUGCUCAGCAGGUGGAUUCGCCGCGGCCUGAGGCUGUCGCCGGCGGAGCUCGACGUGACCGGCGACGGCGGCCCGAUCAAGCUACCCUCCCUCUUCUCCUCUGCUGGCGGCCGCCGCAUCACCAAGCUCCGCCUUGACAACGUGCUCCUCCACAGGGACGCCGAGGGCCUCCUCGGCUCUGGCGGGCUCCCCGCCCUUGAAGACCUGGAGCUCAGUAACGUCCUCCUCCUGCCCGGGGUGUCGGUGAUCGCGUCGGACACGCUAAGGACCCUCACCGUCGUCGACGCGUCCCGGCAAAGUGGACUAAGACGCAGGAGCAUCAUCGGCAUCGUCGCACCUCGCCUGGCAUCGCUGAGGCUCGAGUUCCGGCUCGCCCGCCUCACCACGGUUAGUUUCACCGUAGACGAGGCAUCAUCCUCCUGUCUCGCCCACGCAUCCCUCCGCGUACUGGACAUCGGCGAGCCUCGGCAAGACGACGACGACCACGACGACGACAGCGACGGCGACGAUUCUGACGGCGACGAACUAGACCAACAGGACACGAGGUCGCUGGUAAGCGAUCUCAGCCGUAUCCUCGGCUCCCUAUGCAAUGUCACCAGCUUGCACCUGUCGGGCUUCGAUGACAUGACAGUAUGA
rnacentral:rRNA from 1 species